UACGAAGGGGGCUAGCGUUGCUCGGAAUCACUGGGCGUAAAGGGUGCGUAGGCGGGUCUUUAAGUCAGGGGUGAAAUCCUGGAGCUCAACUCCAGAACUGCCUUUGAUACUGAGGAUCUUGAGUUCGGGAGAGGUGAGUGGAACUGCGAGUGUAGAGGUGAAAUUCGUAGAUAUCAGGAGGAACACCGGUGGCGAAGGCGGCUUUCUGGACAGAUACCGACGCUGAGGCACGAAAGCUAGGGGAGCAAACAGG
rnacentral:rRNA from 1 species